UCAUGUGAUUAUUUACAUAAUCAUAGUGUUGGUGAAACAGACUAAUCUGUAUCUUGUAUUUCAUUUCUUAGCACUUAUAGAAUUCAUAUUGUUUACUAAUCGUAAUUAUCGUAAGCCUUGAGCGUCAGUAAUAGAUAAAACACUUGUUGUCCCCCUUCCUCACACUCUUUAAAAGGGACAAGCGUAUAUAAUGUAAAGUUCAUUUUGCAAACGUCUCUUCUGACCAUCCGCAUUCAACACUUAUAUUUCUCCUGCUGUGUGGGGUGGGAUAUGUGGUAAGUAUAAUGCCCCCUCUUAAUUAAGUAUAGUAGGGAAUUAGAAAAAUAACAAAUUAGAAACACCCAGCUUAAGUCUAAUAAUUUUUGACAUUUUUAUUUACAGGUUUAUACUAUCCUAAUAAAUGUGCCAAAAUAUACACACUGCCUUUGAAGUUUGUAAAGAGGAGUACACUUUUGGUAUAAAAUUUGGCUAUUUAAAAAAAUAAAUGGAGUAUUAUAUGAGAGUAUCUGUUUCUCUUUAGAUAUACAUCUGUGGAGAUUUAAAAGCACCUUCAUUUUCAUUUUUAAGGCCUAGUGAGACUACUUUCCUCUUUGAAAUUGGGAUAUGCAUAAAUUUAGUACCAGUAAUAAAAAUAGGAAUCUUAGAAAGUUGUAUAAAUGCAAAAGAUGUUCUCCACAAAUAUGUUACUCUUUAUAGUUUCAAAAUUUCAGUUUCUUGUCUUUUUCUGCCUAAGUCUAAUAUUUGUUACUGAUUGUUGAAUAAGAUGCUUAGGUUUUGGUGGAUUUGAGUUUAAUUAAGGGAAGAUGAUGUUAACAUAUACAAACCACAUUUGGUUCUUUUUCCAUUUAAAGAACCUCAUGGGGAAUUUUUUUGUGGAAAAGUUAUAAUUCUUAAGUAAAAACUCUGAGUGAGGUUUUUGUUUCUUGGUUACUUUGAUAUUGCUAACACUAUAAUUUACAGAAAACCGAAGCCUGAAUUUUCUCCAUGUGGUGAUUAAAACAUGUAAGAUAUUUGUGCUUGGGUUUCCAUUCUCUGCCUGAAUGAAUAAACAGCUGCCCUCAGCAGCAGCUUGUGGAUUCUUGGAACAGUGUCCAGACAGACAGCUUGGAUCAGGGAUUAGAAUCCCAGACCCUUCAUUCAAACGCAUUUGAAGCAAGGGCUUCAGUGUGGCAUGUAUGGGAUGCGGGAUCAUACCAGUGAAUGGAGGCUAUUGACUUAUCUUUUUAUUGAAUGUUUCUUGAUCUGUGAGCUACCAGGGGACAUGCAGUUUUUUUGAUUUCUAAUUGUAUCAUUCAUGAAAACUUAAAUUUUCCUCAAUGUUUUAUUAUAAUAUUCAAACAUACAGCAGAAUUAAAAGAACUUUACAUGAGUACCUGUAUACCCAUCACCUAGAUUCUGCCAUUAACCUUUUUUCUGCAGCUUUAUUGAGGUAUGAUCUUCAUACCAUAGUGUUCACCAAUUUUAAGUGUAUAUGGUUUUAGUAAAUUUGGCUGUUUAUCACCACAGUCCAAUUUUAGAAGACUUAAUCACCUGAAAAAGUUCCUUUGUCCCCCUCUCCAGUCAAUUCCCACUCCUACCCCUCUGCCUCAGCCUCAGGCAAGUAUUGCUUUCUCUUGCUAUAUUAUUUCAUUUUCUAGAAAUUCUUAUAAAUGGAAUUGUGUAAUACAUGUCUUUUGUAUCUAGCUUCCUCCAUGUAACAGGACGUUUUGAGAUUUUCUCAUGUGUUAUUUGUAUCAAUAGUUUGUUUUUUCUCUGUAAGUCCUUUUCUAAAAUCUUUUUGUUUUGAAAUAACUGUAGAUUUAUAGGAAGUUGCAAAGAUAGUAGAGAAGUCCAUGUACUCUUUACCCAGGUUCUUCCAAUGGUUACAUCUUGUAUAGGAAAAGAAGCAUCUUUUUAUAGUAUAUACUGUAAUUCUUUAAAAAAAUGGCUCCCUGAAAAAUUUUAGUAUUAUGGCAGCUUAGUCUUAGUUUAAAUUUUCUUGGAUUCUAAAGUAAUUUUGUUUUCCUUAACUGCCAUAGACAUUCUGGGCUUGGAGUUAUUUAAAAGUUUGGGGGUGUUUAGUUAUAGAUCAUUUCUGAAUGGCAAGUAUAAGUUUAUAUGUUAAUGGGUGACGAAAGAAAUUCUAAUUGAUCCUGAUCCCUGGGCUCCAUGAUAGGGCUAGCAUAAGAAUUCUAUAAUCUUGAUGAUUAAUUCCCAACUUUGCCUGAAAAACUGUCAAGGUUAGAGAGAUAUUAUUAAAUUUCUCAGAAUGUUUGACCGUAGAUAAUUUGAUAUUUCUGUAGAAAUCGAUGGGUAUGACUGUGCAGACUCAGUAAUUCUUGUAUGUUAUUGCAGGUGUUUAGAAGUUCACCACAGUACUGACUUUUGUUGAUUUUUAAAAAAAAAUAAACCAGUAUAACUUUUAUUUUUGGCUGAAUAAAAAGUAAAACCAAGUUGAAAAGUUCAGAGUCAGCAUUGUCCUGGUAAAUUCUUUCAAACCUCAGUAAUUCUAAAUGUGAGGUGUAGCUUAUUUUUUUCAUAAUUGGUUGCCUGGUGUGUAUUGAUGAAAUGAAAAACAUGAAAUUGGAAAUUAAGCUGAAUGCAAUAGAAAAAAUAUGUGCAUUAAAGUUACUCUGUUUAAUAUUUGCUUUUAAAAACCAGUGCUGAGAUGUUUUAAGUCCAAACAAAGAAGCAUACUCUGUAGAAUAACAUUUUUAUUUAUGGGCUGGAGGAACCAGAAUACUCAUUAUCUGAUCAUUUUGGAUUGGAAACAAUUUAGGUAUCCCAGGAGUCCAAGAUAUUGGGUCUCUCCCUCUGUCCUGAUAGUAUAUAUUUUGUGAUUAAUUGGUUUAUUGAAAAGUAAAUCAGUAGAAAGAAGUAGACUGGGAAGGACUGGAACUUAGAAUACAGGUAUGAUUGUUAGAUUGGAGGCAAGGGACUGAAAAUCCACUUUAGUGCUAAGGGAAAAAAAAUCCCAGUCUGCCAGUGGAACACAUAGGAGGACAGGGACAGGUAGCUGUGGAGGAAUGUAUGAGCACCUGGUAGCUGGGAGGUGCAGCAAGAGGAAACAGGGAAUCUAAUUUAACUAUUGGGAAGGUAAGGAGCAUUAGCAGACUGUGAUUUUAUUGUACAGGAGGCUCAUUAUCCACAUUAUGACAGGAAAGUAUUCACUCAUGACGUGAUCCCUUAUCCAGAGAAGAGUAGUAGAAAUUCAGCAUAUAAUCUAUAAAAAAAACCCAAGAUGAAUUAUUAAAGUUAAAAUUAUUCAUAGCACUGUAGCUGACAAUAUCACAGUAAUCCUAGUGAUUAAUAAUAAAAAUGUAAAUAAAAACCUCAAAUGCCUGGAACAUAAAAACGUUUCUUUAAAUAACUUGAGUUAGAACCAUAUCAGAAUUGCCAUUUAAAAAGACUUAUUAGAAAAAAUAACUAUAAUGAACAAUAUGGGUAAAAAUUUAGAUAGUGUGGCCAGAGUGAUAGAAGUAGGUUCAUAGCAUUAAAUGCUUCAAAAAGAAAAUGAACUGAGUAUUGAACUCAAAAAGGUAGAAGAAGGAAACCCAAUGAAGCAGAAGGAGGCAAAUAAUAGAGAAAAAUGGAUGAGUGAACAGCAAAAUAGAAAGCUUCAGGACCUUAACAGCCUUAGCUGUUCUUCUGGAACCUUCCUAGGAUUUUAUCUGUAUUACUGCAAAGCAAAAAAGGUGCCCUUAGAAUCCUUCUCAACAUAAUGUUUCACUGUGACAACCAGUAGGUAAGGAUUGACUCUAUAUGAAACAUAUUUGCUAUCCCUAUUCUAGAAGUUCUAUCCAGUUUAGUAAGAAAAAUUAAAACAGCAGGAAAGGAGGAAACAAAUUCUUAUUUGCAAUUGAUAUGAUUGACUACCUGUAGAACUUAAGAAAAUCAAGUCAGAAACUUCUUAGAAUGGAUAAAAAUUCAUGUAAGGUGCUUUAUAGAAAACAUAUAUAAAAUAGAAGACAGAGUAGUGAAAAUCACUGAUGCUGAACAGAAAAAAGAAAAGAAGAAUGAAAAGAAAUGAGGACAGUUUGAGAGACCUCUGCGAUAACAUCAAGUGUACUAAUAUUCACAGUAUAGGGGUUCUAGAAGGAGAAGAGAGAGAGAAAGGGGCAGAGAACAUAUCUGAAGACAUAAUAGCUGAAAACUUCCCUAACUUGGAAAAGAAAUAGACAUCCAAAUCCAGGAGGCCCAGAGAGUCCCAUACAGGACUUACCCAAAGAGGAAAGCACCAAGACACAUUGCAAUUAAAAUGACAAAAAUUAAAGAGAAAGAGAGACUGUUAAAAGCAUCAAGGGAAAAGCAAGAGAUAACAUACAAGGGAACUCCCAUAAGGCUGUCAGCUGACCUUUAGCAGAAACCCUGCAGGCCAGAAGGGAGUGGCAUGUUUUAUUUAAAGCAAUGAAAGGGAAAACCCUAUACCCAAGAAUACUCUAACCCAGGGGUCCCCAACGCCUGGGCUGUGGAAUGGUGCUGGGCUGUGGAACGGUGCCAGUCCAUGGCCUGUUAGGAACCGGCCACACAGCAGGAGGUGAGUGGCGGGCAAGUGAGCGAAGAUUCAUCUGCUGUUCCCAUUGCUCCCCAUCACUCACAUUACUGCCUGAACCAUCCCCCCCAUCACUUGCAUUACCUCCUGAACCCUCCCACAUCCCCCACCCCCGACCGUGGAAAAACUGUCUUCCAUGAAACCGGUCCCUGGUGCCAAAAAGGUUGGGGACCGCUGCUCUAACCAACAAGGCUCUUGUUCAGAUUUGUGGGAGAGAUCAAAAGCUUUACAGAGAAGCAAAGGCUAAAAGAGUUCAGCACCACCAAACCAGCUCUACAAGAAAUGUUCAGGAAAUUCCUCUAAGCGAAAAAGAAAUGGCUGCAACUAGAAACAUGAAAAUGAUGAAAUGAAAAAGCUCAUCAAUAAAGGCAAACAUACAGUAAAAGUAGGAAGUCAUCCACCCACAAAGCUAGUAGAAUGGUUAAAGACAAAGCAGUAAAAUCAUAUAUGUCCACAAUAAGCAGUUAAGGGAUGCACAAUACAGUUAAAUGUAAAAUAUAUCAAAAACAGUAAUCAUGAGAGGAGGAGAGUACAAAUGCAUGCAUUUGAAAUUAAGAGACCAGCAACUUAAAACAAUCACACACACACAUAUAUAUACAUAUUGCUAUAUAAAAACUUCACGGUAACCACAAACCAAAAAUCUAUAAUAGAUAUAAACCAAAAAAGGCAAAAGGAAUCCAAACAACACUAAAGAUAGUCGUCAGAUCACAAGAGAACAAAACAAGAAAAAAGGAAAAAAAAAAAAAGACCUACAAAACAACCCCCAAACAAGUAACAAAAUGGCAAUAGCAUACAUAUCAUUAAUUACCUUAGAUGUAAAUGGACUCAGUGCUCUAAUCAAAAGAGAGAGUGGCUGAAUGGAUACAAAAGCAAGACCCAUAUAUAUGCUGCCUAUAAGAGACUCACUUCAGAUCUAAAGACACACACAGACUGAAAAUGAGGGAAUGAGAAAAGGAAUUCCAUGCAAAUGGAAAUCAAAAGAAAGCUGGGGUAACAAUACUUAUAUCAGACAAGAUAGAUUUUAAAGACUGUUACAAGAGACAAAGGAGGACACUACAUAAUGAUCAAGGGAUUAGUCCAAGAAGAAGAUUAAACGAUUGUAAAUAUAUAUGUACCCAGCAUUGGAGCACCUAAAUACAUAAAGCAAAUACUAACCGACAUAAAGGGAGAAAUCAACAGUAACACAAUAGUAGUAGGGGACUUUAACACCCCACUUACGUCAGUGGACCAGUCAUCCAGACAGAAAAUCAACAAGGAAACACUGGCCUUAAAUGACACAUUACACCAGAGGGACAUAAUUGAUAUGUGUAGAGCAUUCCAUCCCAAAGCAGCAGAGUACACGUUCUUUUUAUGUGCACAUGGUACAUUCUCCAGGAUAGAUCACAUGCUAGGCCACAAAACAAGACUUGGUAAAUUUAGGAAAAUUAAAAUCAUAUCAAGGGACCUCCCUGGUGACGCAGUGGUUAAGGAUCUCCCUGCCAAUGCAGGGGACACGGGUUGGAUCCCUGCUCCAGGAAGAUUCCACAUGCUGUGGAGCAACUAAGUUCGUGUGCCACAACUACUGAGCCUAUGCUCUAGAGCAUGCAAGCCACACCUACUGAGCCCACGUGCCUAGAGUCCGUGCUCUACAACAAGAGAAGCCACCACAAUGAGAAGCCUGUGCACCGCAGCGAAGAGUAGACCCCGCAACUAGAGAAAGCCUGCACGCAGCAGCAAAGACCCAACGCAACCAAAAAUAAAUUUAAAAAGAAAUUAAAAUCAUAUCAAGCAUCUUUUCUGACCACGAUGCUAUGAGACUAGAAGUCAACUACAAGGAAAAAACUGCAGAAAACACAAAUGAGGAGGCUAAACAACAUGGUACUAAACAACCAGUGGAUCACUGAAGAAAUCAAAGAGGAAAUGAAAAAAUACCUAGAGAAAAAUGCAAACAAAAACAUGAUGAUCCAAAACCUUUGGGACGCAGCAAAAGCAGUUCUAAGUGGGAAGUUUAUGGUGAUACCUCAGGUAUAAGGUAUUCCUCAGAAUACCUCAGGAAAUAAGAAAAAAUCUCAUAUAAAUAACCUAACCUUACACCUAAACAAACUGGAGAAAGAAAAAGCCCAAAGUUAGUAGAAGGAAAGAAAGCAUAAAGAUCAGAGAAGAAAUAAAAUAGAGACUAAAAAAAUAAUAGAAGAGAUCAAUGAAACUAAAAACUGGUUCUUUGAAAAGA